UUUUUUUAGCAGACGCCUUUAUCCAAGGCGACUUACAGAGACUAGGGUGUGUGAACUAUGCAUCAGCUGCAGAGUCACUUACAAUUACAUCUCACCCGAAAGACAGAGGACAAGGAGGUUAAGUGACUUGCACAGGGUCACACAAUGAGUCAGUGGCUGAGGUGGAAUUUGAACCGGGGACCUCCUCGUUACAAGCCCUUUUCUUUACCACUGGACCACACAGCAUCCUAUGCAAGGUAGCAAGCACAGACAGCCAUGGAUGAUCGAAUGCGUGAAGUGUACAAUUACCUUUCUGAUAACAAUUAUCCACCAUCCUACUCCAAGCUACAGAAGCUAACUUUAAGAAGAUAUGCUUCAAAUUUUCCAUUCAAAUAGUGCAACUGUGGUCUCAAAAGGCUGUUGGACAAAUUGAAGCUAUUGUCGGUCCUUACAAGCUGUAUGAUACUUCAUUUGAAACUCUGAAAGAAUCCGCCUGGUUGUCAGAUGAGGUGAUUGAUUCAUACCUCCAUGUAUUAACAAACACACUAAAGAUCAGAAUACAAGAACAUGAGAUUGUGCUGUGCCCUUACAAUACUGGAAGUCACUGGAUUCUUGUGAUCGUGAAAAUACUGUGGUCCUGAUUGCUCCACUGGGCGAGGAGGACAAGUAUAGCAGACGAAUUUUAAGAAACUGGAGGAGUUUCGUGAGAGCUAAUGUGGACACAGGAAACAAGACAGUUUGGAAAUUGCAGACUUUCAAACACCAACUUCAGAUGGAUGGCAGCAGUUGUGGUGUUCUGAUAUUAAAUUUUGCAGAACAGUACCUUACAAGUGGAUCAAUUGAUCAGGUGGAAACCAGCCCAGCAUCUAUGAGAGCAGAAAGACUGGAGAUUGCAGGCCUCCUUAUGGAAAAUCAGGGUAACACAUUACUGUGUACAGGUUUAAAACAACUGGAAGACUACCAUGUAAUUUGAACACUUAUGAAUAUAUAGCAGAUUGAAUGAGCAACAUGAAAGGAAAGGACACAACAGUCCAGGACUGAACAACACAACUGAGAGAAUCUAUUGAGCCAUUAUGCCUCAUGCUUUUUGUAAAAUGUUUAUUACAUUUGCAAUAAUGAAGGGCUGAUAUACAAUACUGUGUUGAAAGCCACAAUCCAUGGCAUUGCAUAGAACUCAUCGCUCUGUGAUACCUAAUAUAAAUACAAUCCCUAAUUGCCCUAGUUUGAUACUGGAUAGUGUUUUUUUUUUCUUUUUUAAAGGACUGCAUCAAUAAACACUUCUUGUUCACAAUAUUAUUCCUAAAUGUAAUUUCCAUAGAUGCUACAUGUACAUGUUGAACUAUACUGCUUUAAAAUGUGACAACUUUAUAUUUGAAAAUGUUGAUCAAAAUAAUUAUGGUUUUAAAAUACUUGUUUUAAUGUUUUAGUUUGUCUAAUUUGUUUGCUUUAUCACAGGUAACAUAGAUGAAUACUGCAUAAUAUGCAGCAUGAUGGACCUGCAAUCAGCCAACACCACAAUUAACAUUAUUUAUGUUAAUUAUUUAUUUAUUCUAGUAAUUAUAUAUAGUAUUUAGUUAUUUCAUAAGUAAGUGUAUAUUUGAUAAAUUUAACUUGUGUUUACUGAACCAGAACAACUAAUUACAUCAAGACAAAUAAUGAAUGUGAUCUUCCUUGGUAUUUUCUGAUAAUAUUGCGAGUAGGUGUUGUGUGUUUUGGAAUGAUUGUGCUAUUUCUAUAUAACUGGUGUCAGGGCAUAAUUUGCUGACACUAGAUCCCCUGGAAGAUCACAAUAUUCUUUAUUUUGUAUUGUAUAUCUGCCACAGAAUAUACGCAGUUAUAUAUUUUAAGUGUAAUAAACUAUUAAAUAAUGACUUGGUGUAAUCUAUAGCUGGUGUCAUCUAUAACAAUCAUCAAGUGGAAAAUAUUGAUUUAUUUUACUUUUUUCAGGGUCAAUGUGAUCACUGCAACAGAUGGGCACACACUGAAUGCACUCGGUACUCUGCUGAAGAGUUAUCGCAUGAUUUUUCAUUUAUGUGCAAAAAAUGUAAAGUCAAUGGGUAGAAGAAUGUCUUUGCUCUGUUCUUUUUUAGUUGUUUAGUUAGGCUUCCACAGCAUAGCUGGAGAAGCCGAUUGUUUUUGCUGGGAUUUCUGUUGUUCUUUUUCUGCCACAAAACAGUAAUUAGCUAAAUAAAUAAUAACUCCCUCCAAGAUGUGGUCUCUGAUCAAUCUACCCUGCAAUCUAAAGCUGCACACAGAGCCUUCUUUUCUGUCUUAGACACAUCUACAUUGCACUUCCAAAUGCACAUCACCAUUAUCAGUUUCAUUGUGCUGCCCCUCCAAAUGAGCUACUCUACAUUUCAAUUAAAACACAAGGUAGCCCAUUUGGAGCAGUCUUUUCUUCUCAUCCAAAUGAGCUACCCAGGAUUUAAAGGGUUAAAACCUGUUCAUUUCAAUUAAAGCACAGGGUAGCCCAUUUGGAGCAGUCUUUUUUUCUCAUCCAAAUGUGCUACCCAGUCCUGCGUGCGUGUUAGCCCCAUGACGUCAGAGAACGUGAGAGACGGCUUCAGCAGCAAUGGCUGGACUGAAGGCAGAAACUCCUCAAGUGGUUGGCCCGCCUCCUCAGGCUCUGGGGCCGGAGCUCCUCCUCUCUCUUCCGAUGCUCGGUAGGACGCAACCGGGCCCCUGCCGCUUGGGCAUUCGGGCUGGACACUCCUCCCUCCCAGUCCUUCGGACACGAAGCUCCACCCUCUCUGACGCUCGGGUGGUGCUCGUUGGCUUGCUCCUGCUCCCCCCCAAAAAAAUUCAGGGGUUUGCUCCUCAAUGUCUCUCUAUCACGGGUCGAUUUUCCAUUGCGCAGGAUACAGCAAUCCCUUUCUGACACCAAAUUGUGAUAGAGUCCUGGUAUACUUGCCUCAGGCGGCCGAGGAGAACACAGACGAGACUGAGAUAGAGAUUGACAUUGAUGCGCCGACACAGGCGCACGGGAUUUAAUCAAUAAACAAACAAAAAGUAAACAAUAAUGUCAUGUGACGCUACCAACGAUGGUAGCGCAUAGAGGACUUCCGCCCUGCCACGCUCCCCAACACCGAUUGUGUAUUACAAAGGGUCCUGUGAGUUACAAUACAAUUGACACUUUAUUAAGACCUGCCUGUCAGAUUAGUUUGGAAUCGUCAUGAUUUAGAGAUUGAUCAUGUGAUGUGACAUGUGCUCCCUGCUGCAUAUACAUGUUGUAUUACAUAUCGCUUUGCAGUUUUCCGUAUACUUAACGGAAAACUGACAAAAAUUCAAAAAUGUGACAUUUACAAACCUAACAUGAAAGCCUCUAUUACUAUUAUGGCUUCCGGUAGACUUUUUCGA